rnacentral:rRNA from 1 species
UUCUGAAAGGAAGAUUCUUUCAAGAUGGCAUCAUGAGUUCACAUGUUCACAUGAUUAAAGGUAUUCCGGUAGACGAUGGGGAUGCGUUCCAUUAGGUAGUAGGCGGGGUAACGGCCCACCUAGUCUUCGAUGGAUAGGGGUUCUGAGAGGAAGGUCCCCCACAUUGGAACUGAGACACGGUCCAAACUCCUACGGGAGGCAGCAGUGAGGAAUAUUGGUCAAUGGGCGAGAGCCUGAACCAGCCAAGUAGCGUGAAGGAUGACUGCCCUAUGGGUUGUAAACUUCUUUUAUAAAGGAAUAAAGUCGGGUAUGCAUACCCGUUUGCAUGUACUUUAUGAAUAAGGAUCGGCUAACUCCGUGCCAGCAGCCGCGGUAAUACGGAGGAUCCGAGCGUUAUCCGGAUUUAUUGGGUUUAAAGGGAGCGUAGAUGGAUGUUUAAGUCAGUUGUGAAAGUUUGCGGCUCAACCGUAAAAUUGCAGUUGAUACUGGAUAUCUUGAGUGCAGUUGAGGCAGGCGGAAUUCGUGGUGUAGCGGUGAAAUGCUUAGAUAUCACGAAGAACUCCGAUUG